UGACUUUCCAGGCAAAUCCGGAAGGUUAAGGCUGAGGCGUGAUGACGAGGCACCACGGUGCUGAAGUGACAAAUGCCCUGCUUCCAGGAAAAGCCUCUAAGCAUCAGGUAACAUCAAAUCGUACCCCAAACCGACACAGGUGGUCAGGUAGAGAAUACCAAGGCGCUUGAGAGAACUCGGGUGAAGGAACUAGGCAAAAUGGUGCCGUA
rnacentral:rRNA from 1 species